rnacentral:misc_RNA from 1 species
GCGGGAGAUCGAGAUUACUCCGUGGCUUGAAGCUUACAGUUGGCCAACACACAUGUGUACGGCUUCCUUACCAGUUUAAACAGCGUUUGUUUUUCUUUAAUAGAAAUUUGAUGACAGAGAGUCUUUCUCCUCCCUCUAUUUUUUUAUUUUUCCCUCUUGUUGCAACUGUGUUCUGUCGGGAAAACGUCAAUUCCGCAAAAAUUCAAUAUUCGACUAAGAAGAAUUUAUGUACGUGUCACAAAGAGAUUCAGAGAACGCAACUUUGUUCAUUGUACCUGAUGUUUAUAGUUGACACGAUUAUCCGUGAAUUUGUUGAAUAAACAUAAUGGAACGCUCAAAAAGGCUGAUGAUCGAUGAGGGAGAGCCGAACGUUCUCGAGCCACUUCUGACAAGAGUCGAUCAGCAAGAGCUUAUACGCAUUGACAAAAACGAGUUUAAAAUUGGUCGCGCGAGGGACAAUGAUGAAAUCAUAUUGGACAUCACAGUAUCCAGGAGACAUUGUAUAUUCAGAUGUGAAGGUCAAAGCGAAUGGACUGUGAAGAACUUAGGUUCCUCAUCAACAAUUGUUAAUGGCAUCAUCAUCCAGUCAAGAGUGGCACAAGAAGUCCAUUCUGGUGAUAUAAUACAAUUUGGUUCUAAUGCAACAUAUAAGUAUGUGUUCAGUCUUGCUGAAAGAGGACACUGUGUUAAGAGACAACGUUUGGACGAGAAAGUCCUUGACACUAUGCUUAUCAAACAAAGGACCUUUGCUGAAAACCAAGAGUGUCAGAAAAAGGAACUCAAAGACAAGCUUGAGAUAAAACAUAAAGAGCAAAUAGAAUUGAGACAACAGCUUGAAGAGCUAUUGUCACAACAAGCAGCUGCCAAAGAUGACAAAGAAAAUCUAAUCAAACAGAUCACAACAUUGGAAAGCAAAAUAGAGGCUGGUAAUGCACAAGAGCAACACUUACAUAGCAUAUAUUCUCAAUUAUUGGAGAAACUGGAAAAUGAAAGGAAGCAGUUUGAGACAAGGAUAAAUGAAGAAAAACAAAAAUGGCAAGAGGCAUUGGAGAUGAGUAAGCAAGAGAAAGAAAUGGUGGAGAUAAAGAUGAAGGAGCAAAUGGAAAGUUGGAGAGAGCAACAACAAACAGAAUGGAAAAAGAUGAUGGAGAGCAAGGUAAAUGAAGAGAAAACAAUUCAGGCUCAAUUGUUGAACGAGAAGAAUAUACUAGAAGAAAAACUAAAAGAGACAGAAAAAGCGUUAAAGGAACAAGAGGCAAAAGCUGAAACCUCACAAGCAAUGUUGAAUGCAAGCAUGAUAUCUGAAUCCACUGCCAGUUCGUCAGACUGUAUAUUCGUGGAACUCGUAGAUGUGAAUCAAUCUACAGGAUUUCAUGUAUUAGACACAAUUGAUUUAACCGGAUUCAAUCAGAACAUAGAGACAAAUACCAAAGAUGAUGUUCUCGAGAAAGUGAGUGAUAUUAUGGACGAACAAUUGACAUGCAGCAUAUGCUCAGAAUUGUUCGUGAAAGCAACGACCUUGAAUUGCACACACACGUUCUGUCAUCAUUGCAUAAACAUGUGGUGCAGGAAGCGGAAGGAAUGUCCAGUCUGCAGAAAAUCGGUGAUAUCGAUGAAUCGAUCGUUGGUGUUAGAUAAUUUUAUUGAGAGUAUGAUUGAAAACCUGCCAACUGAACUGCAGAAUAAGAGAAAGGAGAUUUUACAAGAAAGAAAAAUUAUUGAGAGGAAGAAACGUCUUUGAAGCAUGAAUCGCUUGACGAGACAGAGAUAAAGAAGAGAGAAAAUAACAAUAUUAAGGAUUUCACGGUAAGAGACUUACGAUCAUUCUCUUGAACAUACCUCGGUAUAACUUCGAGAGCUCUCGCAAUCGCCCCGAUCAGAAGCUGCUCUUUACCGGCGAUGGUGCGAGAAUAAUCGCGCAGGGUCUUGGAGAGCUCCAUUUCGAUCGCGCCACCGCCACCAAC